UUCAUUGCAGACCUUCUACUUCCUGGUUCUGCUGCUCUGAAAGAAGAAACUACAACCCACAUGAGCUGUGACGUCAUCAGUUACGCAACAUCCGUCACAUUUACUUUCAGUUUCAAUGACACUGUUAAAGUGCGGCUCUGAUCAGGUUGUUGGAUCUUUAUUUGUUGUUCAGAUGUUUUUCUUCGACUCUUUUGAUCGUUUGAACAAAUUGUGAAGCUAGAAAGUGUGUGUGAGCUGAUGUGAAUUCAGCAGCAUGGAUCAGUGUGAGGACAGAGAGGAGGGAGUCCCUCCCUCUAAAACCACUCUGUGUGGGGAAGAUGAGAGC